rnacentral:rRNA from 1 species
CCCGCACAAGCGGUGGAGCAUGUGGUUUAAUUCGAUGAUACGGCGAGGAACCUUACCUGGGCUCAAAUGUAUGGUUGACGUAUUCUGAAAGGGAUACUUCUUCGGACAAUAUACAAGGUGCUGCAUGGUUGUCGUCAGCUCGUGCCGUGAGGUGUCGGGUUAAGUCCCAUAACGAGCGCAACCCCUAUCAUUAGUUGCCAUCAGGUCAAGCUGGGGACUCUAAUGAAACUGCCUACGCAAGUAGUGAGGAAGGUGGGGAUGACGUCAAAUCAGCACGGCCCUUACGUCCAGGGCUACACACGUGCUACAAUGGCCGGUACAAAGGGCAGCUACCUGGUGACAGGAUGCUAAUCUCAAAAGCCGGUCGCAGUUCGGAUUGAAGUCUGCAACUCGACUUCAUGAAGCUGGAAUCGCUAGUAAUCGCAGAUCAGCCAAGCUGCGGUGAAUACGUUCCCGGGCCUU